AGAGUGCAUGGAAUCAUGAUUUACAGCUCCCCUGGGCCUCACGGGGAAGAGAGGGAUGCUGGAUGAAGAGGAGGGUGAGUUACCGAGCUUCUCUGGACGUCAACGUCCUGUUCUGUGAAACGGAGAUUACAGCAGUGCCCACUUCCCAGGCUGGUUGUGCAGGUUACAUAAAACAAUGUGCUUGUCACUCUACCUGGCAUGGAGUAAGUUUCAUUAACUGUUAGUUUUGAGGACAGCCACAAUAGUCAUACCUACUAGGGUUAAGUAAAUCUGAUUAAUAUAAAGGCAUUUUACCUGGGCAUGGUUGCCCUGUAGCCCUGUAGCUUUUGAAAUGGGAGGAGAGUCACCAAGUGGCAUUCCGAAUGUCUUCCUAGAAAUGUUGGAAAAUCCCUAAUCCUCCCUGUGCACUGUGCCUGGCACAAGGCAAGAGCCUCUUUCCCUUCUUUCAUUUUUAUCUUUUCCUAGUCUUCAGGCCCCUCCUGAUCUCUGCCCUGUAGCUACUUUUUUACCCACCUGUAAUUAUCAGCAGCUACCAAUUACCCAGCCACCCAACUGUGGGGAAAUAAGGGUAACUGUGGGUUCCUGGGGCUCGAUCACUCCCUCCCAGAGGUGCAUGCCCAAUCAGAGGGUAGCAGGAAUGGACGAAAUCCUUCCCUCGGGCACCUAAGAAGGUGACUGUUGACUGCAUUUUCUACCUUUGAGAGGAGUGCCAGCCUUGAGGGUGAUGUGUUGUGUUCUCAGAUUCAGUGCAGGGCAGCCCACGUGACUCAGUUGCUCUCACAGUGCAGCAAGAUCUAAGAUCUAAAAUGAUCUGUCUCCUCUUCCUAUUUUAACAUCUCUUAAAUCAAAAUAUGCCUUCUAAUAAAUGUGCGUAUUGUAGGUAGUGGAUUACCAGCCCUCCGCAGCCCCACGCCUACCUCCAUCUUAUAUUAAAUUGAUGCUGCUUCUUACCAUCAGUGGUGUCAUAAAACAGAAAUAUAGUAAUGUGCAUGCUAAGGGACUGUAGGCACUCAGGGACUGUGCUAAGCAUUUAUGUGCAUGAUUAGGUUUAGUCCUUCUAACUACCCUACGAGAUAGGCCCAGUUAUUAUCCUCAUUUAACUACUAGAGAAACUGAGUCUCCAAGCGGGACUUUGACCAAAGUUGCAUGGUUUGUAAAUGGCCAAGCCAGGAUUCAAACCUAGGCAGCGCUUUCUGAUUCUAGAACUGUGCUCUUAUCCGAUACAUUAUAGUUUCUUUGUUAGUUCCGAGGGUUAGAUUGUGCAGCGAGGAAGCAUUCUACUUUGGUUUUUAUGAUCAAUAACUGGGUUAAAAGGGGAAGUCCCUCUGUUCCACCUUGCCUUCCCCUCCUCAGGGCACCCACCUCAGGCGCCAAGCGGCACGCAAGUUGCAAAGGCACCACAAGAUGGCGCUUUCGACCUUUCUCCUUAAUGUGAGCUCUGGGCCCGGACUGCCUUUCCCUGCACUUCCUGUUAAUGCACAGAGAUGUGUUUAGUGGAGCUGCUGCUUGACGGUUUUCCGCAGAAUUAAAGCCUUGCAGCCUGUUGGAAAAGAAACAGGCCAUAGUCGCGGUUGGACGCCAUGAGGGGUGUGUGCACGGAAAAGCGGUGCUGUGUGGACAGAAGAACUCUGUUCAGCACCCAGAUGGUGGUUGGAAACCAGUGGUGGCGUUUGGUCAUUUCACAGUAAGCCUCUUCUCCUUAGGCCGAUUCCUCAGUAUCAAAAGUUCUAUGAGUUCACUCAAGAAUCUGUUUGAAAAAGAGUGAGUUAGGAAUUUCAGUGUCCCUUCAAGAGCUUUUGAGAAAUCUCAAGUCAAAGGCUUCCCGAACCUUCUCCCUCCCACCACACAGCCGCCUGCACGGAGGAAGGCUGCUGUGGGGUGGGGAAGUGGGGGGCACCUUGGGGAGAGUCUACCUGCUGGGCUCAGGGAGGUACCCAGGUGUGGGAGGGACGUAGGACACCCUUCAGGUCAGCUUUCCAAUGACUCGGGUGAAUGAAUGUCACAAUUUUAGGGCUGGCAUGUCCUGGGUGGGAGGGUCCCAGAACCUUCUGGUCAUGUGUGGAUGAUAACAUUUCCUAAUGAUUCACAGAGUUGAAUAUAUGCUCUAAAAGAAGAACCUGGACAUCAGGGCUCAGUUCCAAGAAGCAUCCUCCCAGCUUGCUAGCCCCAACUGACCGCUUUCCUUGUUCUCCCUCCUCCCAGCAGUUGUAAAACACCUACUCUGUGCUAGGGACUCACAGGGGCUAGGAAUUCUGAGACAAAGUCUAUUCACUAUUGUUAGGGAUCCUACAUCCUAGUUGGAGAAACACACAUAUCUAUAACAAUGCGGUUUAAUGUGUUAAUGCUGAGGUGUGGUAAAAUAGUGAGGCUCAGACAGGCCUGGGUUGAAAUCCUGGCAUGGCUCUCUGGUAGCUGGGUAUCUUUAUGCAAGUGAUUGAAUCUCCAUCAGACUCAGUUUUCUUACGUAUAAGACAAGGACGGAAGUAUAGAUGUCAAAAGGUUGAUGUGAAGAUUGAAUGAGAACUUGGGUAAGGCACCUUGUCCCAAGCUUAACCCAGGGAGAUGCACAAGUUUCAUUGAUCUCCUUACCCUCUAAGAGAUUUGCAAACAUUUUCAGUACACUGGGUGAUAGAAUGUGAAUUCCAAAUACUUCCCAAAGGUUGAAGUGACAGGAAAAAAACUGGUAAGAUUAAUUGGGGCAUAUGUAAAGUGGUAGGGCUAGCUUCAAAGGAUCAAUUACCCCAGCGUAAGAUUGGAGUGGAGAUACGUGUGGCAUGAAACUCUGCUCUUGUGUGAUGAGGCCUUGGGGACCUAUUAAAUGCUUGCUUAAUGGAUGUGACUUGGUGGCUGAGAACAUUAGCAGACUUAGAUGGGGUUAAUAAAAGUACUGUGUCCAGGACAAAGAAAAUGAGCCACAGCCACACAGCAGGUGGUUUGGGAGGGUGACCUGGAAGGCAGGGGCCUGGACACCAUCACCUAGAAUGGCUGAGAGGACAGCAGGGUUAGCUCAGGAGAAGGUCAGGUAUGUCCCAGCAUGGCCUCUGCCUUCUGAACAUGUCAAGGGCUGGUACCUGAAAUAGGCAUUGUGCUACCUCUGUGUAGCUCUGAGGAUGGAACUCAGGAAGCAUCUUUUAGUGUCCUGAUUUAAUCCUAACACUUUUUAGCAUGUGGACUUUUCCAAUCAUAGAGUGAGCUGCUUUUUGAGCUGUGAGGCUCCUGUUACUGGAGAUAUCCAAGCCACCUCUGGAUGCCCUACCUGGGAUUGUCUAAGGCAGGAAUUACUCACACAGGGUCCAAGGAGCCAUAAGGAUGACAUCAGGGAAGUCUAAGAAUCUCCUGAAAUGGUUUGCAAAAUAUACUGGGCAUUUUUUUUUUUCAGGGAAAAGGAAUCAUAGCAUUCAUCAGCUUUUCAAGGGGGCCCAGAGUUCAAAAGCAGUUAAAAAAUUUACAGCUUCAAAGAAAUUUUUCUAGUGGAUAUAAGGUGGGACUAGAUUCUAAGGUAUUUCUUCCCCCAGGUUUAAGAUUCCUUGGACUGUUAAAUACAUUUUUUAAGAAACACAAAUUUAUUAUUAUUAA
rnacentral:lncRNA from 1 species